rnacentral:rRNA from 1 species
UACGAAGGGGGCUAGCGUUGUUCGGAAUUACUGGGCGUAAAGCGCACGUAGGCGGUUCGUUAAGUCCUGUGUGAAAUCCCCCGGCUCAACUGGGGAACUGCACAGGAAACUAGCGGGCUUGAGUUCGGUAGGGGAGACUGGAAUUCCUGGUGUAGCGGUGAAAUGCGCAGAUAUCAGGAGGAACACCGGUGGCGAAGGCGGGUCUCUGGGCCGAUACGUGACACUGAGGGACGAAAGCUAGGGGAGCGAAUGGG